CCCCUCUCAGGGUGGCAUCUGGAGAGUUUCCAGUCCUCUACCAGUCUCGACUAUGGGAGGGAGAGUCAAGCAGAGGCAUAUUCAUUCUAUUCCUAGCUUGGGUAGUGGCUAGCGAGUGGAAGGAAACCUGCUACAAGU
rnacentral:snoRNA from 2 species